AGAGUUUGAUCCUGGCUCAGAACGAACGCUGGCGGCGUGCCUAACACAUGCAAGUCGAGCGCGAAAGUCCCUUCGGGGGCGAGUAGAGCGGCGGACGGGUGAGUAAUACAUAGGUAAUCUACCUUCGAGCUUGGGAUAACCCCGCGAAAGUGGGGCUAAUACCGGAUAAGACCACGCAACCAUGUUGCGGGGUAAAAGGUGGCUUAUUUUUUAAAUGAGCUAUCACUUGAGGAUGAGCCUAUGGCCUAUCAGCUUGUUGGCGGGGUAAAAGCCCACCAAGGCUAUGACGGGUAGCUGGUCUGAGAGGACGAUCAGCCACACUGGGACUGAGACACGGCCCAGACUCCUACGGGAGGCAGCAGUGGGGAAUAUUGGGCAAUGGGCGAAAGCCUGACCCAGCGACGCCGCGUGGGCGAUGAAGGCCUUCGGGUUGUAAAGCCCUGUCAUGCGGAAAGAACGACCCUGUGACGCAUACUCACAGGGAGUGACGGUACCGCAGGAGGAAGCACCGGCUAACUCCGUGCCAGCAGCCGCGGUAAUACGGAGGGUGCAAGCGUUGUUCGGAAUUAUUGGGCGUAAAGGGCGCGUAGGCGGUAAUGUAAGUCAGAUGUGAAAUACUCCGGCUCAACCAGAGAACAGCAUCUGAAACUGCAUAACUAGAGUACAGAAGAGGGAAACGGAAUUCCCGGUGUAGAGGUGAAAUUCGUAGAUAUCGGGAGGAACACCAGUGGCGAAGGCGGUUUCCUGGUCUGAUACUGACGCUGAGGCGCGAAAGCGUGGGGAGCAAACAGGAUUAGAUACCCUGGUAGUCCACGCUGUAAA
rnacentral:rRNA from 1 species